AUGACAGUUGUACAAAGCUUCUUCCUCUUGGCUCUCAUUUCAGGUGUUGAUGGUCAGACUCUGACAGAAUCCGAUCCAGUGAUUAAAAAGCCUGGAGAAUCCCACAAACUGACCUGUACAACAUCUGGAUUCACAUUCAGCAGCUACUACAUGAACUGGGUCAGGCAGGCUCCUGGAAAAGGACUGGAGUGGAUUGCUGAAAUCAGCAGUGAUGGUAGUAGCAAAUACUACUCUCAGUCAGUUCAAGGCCGGUUCACCAUCUCCAGAGACAACAGCAGACAGCAGCUGUAUCUGCAGAUGAACAGUCUGAAGACUGAAGAUUCUGCUGUUUAUUAUUGUGCUCGAGACUCACAGUGACUGAGUUGGUUGAGCAGCUGUACAAAAUCCUACAAUAGUUCUCCGUACUAGGAUGAUAGAUCACAACAACUAUCUCAUAUGAUUAAUGUCUUCAGUUUAAGUAGUUCAAGAAAAUUUUGUAAUUCCUCUACUCCUAUCCAUCUUUGGAGAACAAUGUGAUAUUUUUUGGGCCUUAAAGA